rnacentral:rRNA from 1 species
UACGGAGGGUGCAAGCGUUAAUCGGAAUUACUGGGCGUAAAGCGUGCGCAGGCGGCUGGUCAAGUCCGAUGUGAAAUCUCCCGGCUCAACUGGGAAACUGCAUCGGAAACUGAUCGGCUUGAAGGUGGGAGAGGGUAGUGGAAUUCCCGGUGUAGUGGUGAAAUGCGUAGAUAUCGGGAGGAACACCAGUGGCGAAGGCGACUACCUGGCCCAUUCUUGACGCUGAGGCGCGAAAGCUAGGGGAGCGAACGGG